rnacentral:rRNA from 1 species
GCAAGGGGAGUGGCAGACGGGUGAGUAACGCGUGGGAAUCUACCGUACCCUACGGAAUAACGCAUGGAAACGUGUGCUAAUACCGUAUACGCCCUACGGGGGAAAGAUUUAUCGGGGUAUGAUGAGCCCGCGUUGGAUUAGCUAGUUGGUGGGGUAAAGGCCUACCAAGGCGACGAUCCAUAGCUGGUCUGAGAGGAUGAUCAGCCACAUUGGGACUGAGACACGGCCCAAACUCCUACGGGAGGCAGCAGUGGGGAAUAUUGGACAAUGGGCGCAAGCUCUGAUCCAGCCAUGCCGCGUGAGUGAUGAAGGUCUUAGGAUUGUAAAGCUCUUUCACCGGAGAAGAUAAUGACGGUAUCCGGAGAAGAAGCCCCGGCUA